rnacentral:snRNA from 1 species
AGUAACAAAGCAAGUAAUAGGA